GGGUGAGUAAGCACAAGAGCCCUGCCCUCUACAAAUCCCAGAUCACUAGACUUGCCCAGCCCCCGUAGCCAUCAUCCAAGGAAGCAACAGCUACAGCUGUUAAAGACCCAAGUCUAGUCAACAAGCAAUUAUUGAGCACUUACUAAGUGCCAAUCCUUGUGCUAAAACUACUGGAGAUAGAAAGACAACAAUAAUUCCUUCCCUAUAGGAACUCAUGUUGAUCUUACCACCUGGGCUGUCCUAAGCCAAGCUAGAGGCAACCAUUGGAUUUGUGAGACACAGGAAGUGAGGUAGGGAACAGCCUCUGAGAUUCGCGGAACUUCCUGUGGAGAGAGCUAGAGGGGGGUUGGUGUUAGGAGCGUAUUUGUUUCUGUCAAAUGGUUCAGUAUCAGAAAUGGAUUAUGCUUUCAUUACUGGAAAGGACGUUAAAGAUGUUGCAUUACCAUUUACUUUGAUGCCGUACCCCAAGGAUCCUGAAACCUUUUAAUCUGGGACAUGUGAGAGACAAUCACAUGGGAGCCCCGGUCAAGAUACUAAGGAACCAACUGAAAAAAACAGACUCCUUGGGGAAGCUUUGGGAGUUAGCUGUGAUCCAUCUUUUCUACAAGUUUUCUGGCCUUUUCUGAGAUACCAGCUUGAGAGGAGAAAUACUGCUUUUACUGGCUUCUGGCAGCUGGACAGAAGACCCAAGAAGAACCAUCACUUCUCUGCUGGACCUACUUUGGACUUUACCUCUGGGAUCUUGGCUCACUUACUGGACUCAGCUUGUGAGGUUCUGUUUGGGGGAAAACUUAACUUAUUUAGCCAAGAUAAGUUAACCAUUUGGAUAUUAUUAAAGGAAUUUAGGUUUGGGGAUAAGAUUAAGAAAUUUUCCUUCUCCCUUUCCCAUCAAUAAACUUAAAAAUAUUUAGAUAUUUUCCCUUCUUGUCUCUUUCCUUUAAACAAUCUAAUAAUAACAAGAUAUAACUGAUAAAUAAAAACAUAAAAGACAUAUUUUAUAUACA
rnacentral:lncRNA from 1 species